rnacentral:rRNA from 1 species
CUCAAGAUGAGGGUUCCCACAGAGUUAAUCUGGUAAGGCCCCCGGAAGACCACCGGGUUGAUAGGUCGGAUGUGGAAGUGCAGCAAUGCAUGGAGCUGACCGAUACUAAUAGGCCGAGGGCUUGUUUCC